GAUGAAGAACGUAGCGAAAUGCGAUAAGUAAUGUGAAUUGCAGAAUUCAGUGAAUCAUCGAAUCUUUGAACGCACCUUGCGCCCUUUGGCCAUUCCGAAGGGCAUGCCUGUUUGAGUUUCAUGAACACCUCAACUCUUUAUGGUUUUCCAUGAUGAGCUUGGACUCUGGGGGUUUUGCUGGCUCACAGUCGGCUCCUCUAAAAUGAAUCAGCUUACCAGUGUUUGGUGGGUAUCAUGGGUGUGAUAACUAUCUACGCUUGUGGUUUUUCCACCAGGUAACCUUCAGCAGUGGAGGUUCGCUGGAGCUCAUAGAUGUCUCUCCUCAGUGAGGACAGCCCUUUGAAUGUUUGAUCUCAAAUCAGGUAGGACUACCCGCUGAACUUAAGCAUAUCAAUAAGCGGAGGA
rnacentral:misc_RNA from 1 species